UGCGUAGGCGGCUUUGCAAGUCAGAUGUGAAAUCUAUGGGCUCAACCCAUAGCCUGCAUUUGAAACUGCAGAGCUUGAGUGAAGUAGAGGCAGGCGGAAUUCCCCGUGUAGCGGUGAAAUGCGUAGAGAUGGGGAGGAACACCAGUGGCGAAGGCGGCCUGCUGGGCUUUAACUGACGCUGAGGCACGAAAGCAUGGGUAGCAAACA
rnacentral:rRNA from 1 species